rnacentral:rRNA from 1 species
GACGUAGGGCGCGAGCGUUGUCCGGAUUUAUUGGGCGUAAAGCGCGGGCAGGCGGCCCGGUAAGUCGGCCGUGAAAGCGCCGGGCUCAAACCUCGGCGAGGACGGGCGAGACUGCAGGGCUGGAGCAAGGCAGAGGGCGGUGGAAUUCCGGGUGGUAGUGGUGGAAUGCGUAGAGCUCCGGAGGAACACCAGUGGCGAAGGCGGUCUGCUGGGCAG